rnacentral:lncRNA from 1 species
GAACUUCCUUCCCCCCAAACUCUUCCUCUCCCCUCGAACCCUAACGCACGCAGCAAAACUCACGGCGGCAAAUCUCACGGCGACAACCUCCACUUCUCACCUAACCGACGGCAACCCUCUUCUCACCUAUGCGGCGGCUACAAUUGUGCCUUCUCCUCUCGAACCCUAAUACCGGCUCUGACGGUGACGAUGGCGAAAUCGCCACAAGCAAACGACGGCUAUAGCAGUGGAAAACCACCACAUAAACCUUUUCCUAAAAUUGUUGAACCCUGCUCUAACACAGUAACCUCAGGGCAAGAUGAUCGAGAGAUCUGAUUCGCUGUUUUUCCAUCAGUCGCACAUUGUAUACAUGGAUCUCUCUUUCGUCUGUGUGGAUCGGAUCGUAACAUGUUGAUUCUUAAUAGGGUGUUACUUGUCCUGCAAAGUUUGCAAAAUAUGCAUCGAUCAGCGAUUGCAGACAUCUAGUUUCAACUGAAGACUUCGAGGCGGCUUAUUAGGCUUUCUUGGAGGAGUCUUUCAUUGUUAUAGCAAUGAAAUCCUCCUCAAUUUCCUUACGCGAUAGCUGGAUCGAAAAGCUAGGUCUUUCUUCCUUCUUAUCAAUGUUCCAUCUAGGCCUGGUUUUCUUCAAUCUCUGACCGCCUGCCUCUACAUUGAUUCUUCUGUCAGCCUCAUCUUUUGAGAGAAUCGUAGGUGUAGGUGAUAGCGAUGAUGCUUUAGAUAUCAACUUUUUCAAAGAUAUGUAUUUCAAAGGCGUGGAGUUUUCUUCACCUUCAUUUGGGGAUGAAGAAGCUUUGAUCGGAGACCAUGAUGAAUUCAGCUCUAAAUCCAACUUCUUCUGCCGAUCAUCAGUGGAUCUAGGUUGUCCUGCACUCCUGCAGAAGGGUUCGGGUUAGCGUCACCUGGAUCUGAGGAUUCAUCAUCUUCAACCACAUGCAUUGCUCGAACUGGAUCAACUUUCAUGCACGUCAAUAGAUGUUUUCCCCCAUGCCAACCCCGUACGACCCUUUUAAACCCACACUAAAAAAAGGGCCAGCUAAUGGCCAAAAUGAAAACAGAAAAAGUUUUUCAAGAAAUGAGAGAAGGUUACGUUGCAAGUGCUUCCAGGAGUGAUGUAUGUUGAGACAAAAAGUGGUGUUGUUGCUAAUGCUGCUAGGAUUGAUGCAAGUUUAUGUAUUUAGUAUUCAAAUUGACAAUUUAUGUCUGGAUUUUG